rnacentral:lncRNA from 1 species
UAACCAGUGUUGUAAAGUCAAACAUAAAUUUAUCCUUUCAUUGUGCAGGAUAAAAAUGGAAUGCUACAAAUUGCUGACGAUGUAAGUAGCACUUCACACUCAUUACAGAAUUGUUCACUAUUUCCUUUCUUAGCUGCCAUGUAUUUCUGAUAAGUGUAGGGGAUACAAAUUCUGAUGUCAUAAUCCUAGAGGUUGCUAAUUUCAUUUGAUGAACAGGAACUGCUUGAGGAUCCUGCUGUUAUUAGUGCCAUAGAUGAAGAGACUGAAUUCAAUGCCCUGGUGGUAUGUGAUUUAAUAUUCCAAAGUAACAUUUUUCAUUGGUUAUGAAGUCUGACUCCAUUCAUAUUUAUAGUUUGUGUUGUCUUACACACAGGAGGAAGAACACGCACUCCUUAACGCACUGUUGGCCGCUGAGUAAAAUAUAACCAUAUAUACUCACAUUGGAUUAAAGCUAUCUUACUGUUUCCCUUUUAGUUUUUCAUCUGGAUUGCCGCGACCUCGUUUGACUGCUGAAUUUUGUGGGUAGAAUAGCUUCUUUUAUGUACAUGAUCAACUUUGUAUUUAUGCAGCAGUAUGCAUAUUUUAGUAAGAAUUGAGGGCUGAAACAAUUUUGUUUGUUGUGCAUGUGGAUGCAUGCGUGCAUAUGGGUGGGUAGAUAUAGUAUACUCCCUCUAGGAGUAAGUUUUCAACUGUACUGUUAUUACUGUUAAAUCCAACUUUUUUAUAGUAUCAUAUCAUAAUCAUAAUAUCAUAAUGAGUUCAAAAUUAGUAGUACUUUUCAAUCUUCAUUGACCUUAAUUUAUUGUCAAUAUGAAUUCAUGAUUUCAAAUUGAA